AGAUUGAACGCUAGCGGCAUGCCUAACACAUGCAAGUCGAACGGGUAACAGGCCCUUCGGGGUGCUGACGAGUGGCGGACGGGUGAGUAAUGCGUAGGAAUCUACCCACGGGUGGGGAAUAACCAGCCGAAAGGUUGGCUAAUACCGCAUACGCCCUACGGGGGAAAGCGGGGGAGUCGAAAGACCUCGCGCCGGUGGAUGAGCCGAAGUCGGAUUAGCUAGUGGUAGGGUAACGGCCUACCAAGGCGACGAUCCGUAGCUGGUCUGAGAGGACGACCAGCCACACUGGGACUGAGACACGGCCCAGACUCCUACGGGAGGCAGC
rnacentral:rRNA from 1 species